AGCUAAGCUUGCAAGCUAAUUGUUUUGUGUUGUAAUACUGUAUUUCAUAAACAACGUACCAUAUUUACACACGUGUAUGUUGAAUUAUGCAGACUAUCGUUUUUUUAUCUAUGUUGGUUUAGACAUGUUUACAAACUUGCUAAGUUGCUAAGCUAAAUACAAAUACAAAUACCAGCUAAACUGUUACCGGUAAAAUUUGUUCUCAUGAUCAAACUCAAGAAACUCUAAGUACAGAUGAUUUGUUUAAAGUUAUAUGUAUUUUACUGUUGUAUUUACUUGAAGCUUUCUUAGAUUUUGAAACGAAGUAAACACGUAAUGUGUGUUGCUAAUGUUGGGCCAUGUAAUAUGUAAUACAUUUACGUUUUAAUGAAUAGUCUAACGAUUUAUAGUCGUUGUACUCUAUUGUUAUAAUAUGUCUUUUUGACUGAAUACAUGUUUGUUUUAUUUGUCUAUAUCCUAGAUUCGCAGCUGGACACAUCCUUCUACACUGUAUGCAAACAUGCAACAUCAUUACACACAGUACAAGGAGUCAGACUGGCAUAUGAGGAGCAAAGGUGUGUAACACAUAUGAUGUAUUUAGCUAGUGAAACCACUACCAGUCUUAGAUGUAUAACUGAUGAUGACAAAGUUUUUUUUCUCUGCAUAAUCAUAGGAACCCAGGCAGUAGCAUUGUUUCACAAUGUUUCCAUCACCAUCAUCAGUGGAUGCCUUUGCCGUCCGUAGCCUGAGAUUUCAGAUUUGCAGCAAAAAACAUUUGAUUUUCUCAUUUAUUGGAAUGCUGUGCAGGUAUUUGUACCUUGCAGCCAUCCAUUACAAUGUCACCAAGCCGUAACAAAAGCAGGAGAGGGAAAGUACAAGGCUAUGUUCCCAAAACACACAAGUGACAUACCUUAUGUGGAGGAUGUGAUCAGGCUUGUGUUUGAUGAGGUAUUUGAAGAUAAGCUGAAGGAAACCCCGAUUCCAAUGGACCUGGCAUCACAGUUUGAGAGACCUUCAAAUGAGGACGUGAUUGCAUGCCAUCUUCAGUGCAGGGGUCGUCGAAAGCCAAAAUUGUGACCGAUCUGAUCAGGAAGCUCCAAGCAUAUCUGGAGAACAACACACGACAGGAUGAUAACCUUAUAGUGUCGCCUUAAAUAGCACCAGCUGACAAAGCUUUGAUAUGCCAUUUAUCUGAAUAGAUAGCUGUAAGAAAUGAAUUGAAAAAUUUUUGAAACA